rnacentral:rRNA from 1 species
UACGAAGGGGGCUAGCGUUGUUCGGAAUCACUGGGCGUAAAGGGCGCGUAGGCGGUCUGCUAAGCGUGUGGUGAAAGCUCGGGGCUCAACCCCGAGUCGGCCGUGCGAACUGGUGGACUGGAGCACGUCAGAGGCAGGCGGAAUUCCGGGUGUAGCGGUGGAAUGCGUAGAGAUCCGGAAGAACACCGGUGGCGAAGGCGGCCUGCUGGGACGUGGCUGACGCUGAGGCGCGACAGCGUGGGGAGCAAACAGG